rnacentral:rRNA from 1 species
UACAGAGGUCCCAAGCGUUGUUCGGAUUCACUGGGCGUAAAGGGUGCGUAGGUGGUCGGGUAAGUCUGAUGUGAAAUCUCCAAGCUCAACUUGGAAACUGCAUCGGAUACUAUUCGGCUGGAGGGUUGGAGGGGGGGACUGGAAUGCUUGGUGUAGCAGUGAAAUGCGUAGAUAUCAAGCGGAACACCAGUGGCGAAGGCGAGUCCCUGGACAACUCCUGACACUGAGGCACGAAAGCUAGGGGAGCAAACAGG